rnacentral:rRNA from 1 species
CUUGUACACACCGCCUGUCACACCAUGGGAGCGGGUUCUGCCAGAAGUAGUUAACCUAACCGCAAGGAGGGCGAUUACCACGGCAGGGUCCGUGACUGGGGUG